CAGUCGCCGCGGGAAUACGGAGGGUGCAAGCGUUAAUCGGAAUUACUGGGCGUAAAGCGCACGUAGGCGGCUUUGUAAGUUAGAGGUGAAAGCCUGGGGCUCAACUCCAGAAUUGCCUUUAAGACUGCAUCGCUUGAACGUCGGAGAGGUGAGUGGAAUUCCGAGUGUAGAGGUAAAAUUCGUAGAUAUUCGGAAGAACACCAGUGGCGAAGGCGGCUCACUGGACGACUGUUGACGCUGAGGUGCGAAAGCGUGGGGAGCAAACAGGAUUAGAUACCCCCGUAGUCCCUGUCUCUUAUAC
rnacentral:rRNA from 1 species